CAGCAGCCGCGGGAAUACGUAGGUGGCGAGCGUUGUCCGGAAUCAUUGGGCGUAAAGGGAGCGCAGGCGGGCAUGUAAGUCUUUCUUAAAAGUUCGGGGCUCAACCCCGUGAUGGGAAAGAAACUACAUGUCUUGAGUACAGGAGAGGAAAGCGGAAUUCCCAGUGUAGCGGUGAAAUGCGUAGAUAUUGGGAGGAACACCAGUGGCGAAGGCGGCUUUCUGGACUGCAACUGACGCUGAGGCUCGAAAGCCAGGGGAGCGAACGGGAUUAGAUACCCCAGUAGUCCCUGUCUCUUAUACA
rnacentral:rRNA from 1 species